AUAUUUCCUCUCAGAUUUCUUUUCUUUUAUGCGUAUGCAUAUACACACAUGCAUGCAGGUGCCAGAAGAGAGUGUCAG
rnacentral:miRNA from 1 species